GACGAACGCUGGCGGCGUGGAUUAGGCAUGCAAGUCGAACGGUAUCAUCCUUUCGGGGGUGAGAGAGUGGCGAACUGGUGAGUAACACGUAGGUUAUCUACCCUCAAGACGGGGACAACCCAGGGAAACUUGGGCUAAUACCGGAUGUGAGCAACUUUUAGUUGUUUGAAAGGUGGCGUAAGCUGUCGCUUGGGGAUGAGCCUGCGUCCUAUUAGUUAGUUGGUGAGGUAACGGCUCACCUAGGCAAUGAUAGGUAGGCGGCCUUAACGGGUGGUCGCCCACACUGGGAUUGAGAUACGGCCCAGACUCCUACGGGAGGCAGCAGUCGAGAAUAGUCUACAAUGGUCGGAAGACUGAUAGUGCGACGCCGCGUGAACGAUGAAUCCCUUCGGGGUGUAAAGUUCUUUUAUAUGUGAGCAGUGCUUCUUAUAUUAACAGUAUGGGGAGAGAGAUAUUAGCAUAUGAAUAAGCAACGGCUAACUCCGUGCCAGCAGCCGCGGAAU
rnacentral:rRNA from 1 species